rnacentral:tRNA from 1 species
AUUUAUAUAGUUUAAUUAAAAUAUUGAUUUGUGGAGUCAAAGAUAUGAUUAAAUUAUCAUUAUAAAUA